rnacentral:rRNA from 1 species
AUGGCCGAGCUCGCGGCGGGCGCCGUGAGCUCCCUGCUGGUCGUCAUACGCAGUGAGGCGCGGCUACUGCGUGGCGUCCGGGACGACGUACAGUUCAUCAAGGAGGAGAUGGAGAGCAUGAAGAGCUUCCUGACGCACCUGGCCAAGUCGGCACCCCCCGGCGGCGAGCACGAUGAGCAGGUGCGCACCUGGAUGAACCAGGUGCGGCUGCUCGCCCAGGACUGCAACAACUGCAUCGACCUCUACCUCUACAGGGGGAACCCUGACAUCCACCGUGCCAGAGGCGGGCUCCGUGGCUACCUCUGGUGGACGACCUGGUUCCUGCACAAGCUGGUCGCACAGCACCGUGCGGCUCAGCAGCUGCGCCUGCUCAAGGAGCGGGCGCGACGUUGGCGAGCGGCGGAUGAGAUAUGGCGUGGAGGUUCCAGCCAAGUCAGGGAAGGAGCAAUCGCCUCCGACGGCAGCAUCGUCAUCGAAGGCUGCUAUGCCAGCGGUCAUUCUGCUCGAAGAGCCUUCAUUGAGCCUCGCACUCUAGACGACUACGUCAAGGCAAAGCUAUGGAAGUGGGCAUAUGGAGUUCCUUCACAAGCCAGCGAAAGUUUGUCCAUGGUCGUGGUGGCGGCACCCUACACAUAUCAGGACCUCAUCGCUCUUGUACAAAAAAUUUGGCUUUUGAGUCAAAACCCGGAGGGCGGCUACCAUCGCAUUGUCGUGGUUGACAUCCCGGCUGUGCACCUGCAUUUUGCGCCGCUACGACCCAAGGAAGUUCUCUUCUGCAUUUUACGCGAGCUCAAGCAUGCCAAAUCCCAACCCCAGGAUCAAAGCACAGAAGGCCAAGUGGAGGAGAAGUAUCUUGACCCUUGGUCAGCUUACAUGAGAAGAUUGCAAAUUUACAAUGAAAAGAAGAGGGCUAUUGCUCUUCUUCAAAUUGAUGAGAAUAUCAGAGAGAUGAAGAUUUAUGAUAAGAUUGACAAAAUCAGAAGUGACAUUCAAGGUCGACUAGAGAAUAAGGGCGACAAGCUGCAGGGUAAUUUUGACCAGUUGGACCUAGAUGUACUACUUCAGCUGCUGCUCCAGGCAGCGUCGCAACAAGAUCAAAAAGGGAAGACCAAAGACAUGCAUAGGUUACCAGUGUGGGACAACAGCAACAUCAUUGUCAAGAAGCUUAAAGAGCAUAUGGAAGCAAAGGAAAAGGACAAGAAUCUUGAAGAGGAAGAAGCAACCAAGCAUAUGGGGGCAGAAGAAGGAAAAGAAGCUGCAGCUAAGCAUAGGGAGGAAGGAGGAGGAGGAGAAGCAACAGGCAAACAUACGGAGGACGGGGAAAGAGAAGCAACCAUACAUAUGGAGGAGAAGGAAGGAGGCGGGGGAGGGGGGGAAACAGCCAAGCAUAUGGUGGAGGAAGGAGGCGGAGAAAUCAAAGGUCAGCAGACGGCACAGAUUCAGCUCAAUGAGGCACAAUAUGCACACAUCCUGCGGAAGUUGUUCCCCAAGAGCAGCAGCAAGCCCCUGCAAGCUUCGGACAGAUCCUUCGACAAACAAGCUAAAAAGACCACAACAGCUACACUGGGUGAACCUGGUGCUCCGGAUCAAAACACACAAACUGUUUCUGAAAACAUAUUUGCCCGUUUCACGGAUCAGAUGAUGGACAAAAUGAAGCACGAGUUCAAAGAGCAGCUUAAGAUCAAAGGGCUCGUGGACGAGAUUAAAAAAAACUUGAAUCGUCUUCCGGACUCGAAUAAUUAUGAAUGCCCCCUGUUUAUCCUCAAAGUUGAUGAGCUGAUGGAUGUUUCUGCUUGGGAGGAUACCAGAAAUGCUUUGAGCCUGUUAAACUGCAGCGCUGAUUUGAUGAUUGUCACCACCGCGAAGGACAUCCAGCUGGCUAAAGAAUACUGCUAUCCACCGCGAGAACCUAUAGACUAUUCUCUUGCUGGCCUCUACCAUGAUGCAGUACUCGAGCUUACUAGUCAGCAGAAGAAUGAAGACAGCUAUAACCCCCAAAUUUUUCAUGAUAUCUUGUACGAGUGUGAGCCACAUGAAUUCUGCAUGAAGGUGUUCACUCAUGCUCUGUAUGCUAACCCCAAGAGGAGCGGUGAGGAAUUACACAAGCUGCACAGCACCCUGCGGGCUUUACCAACAAUAUCAUUCAACAGCAUUGCUAAGGUGAUGUUCAAGUUCUCUUACAAUGACCUGCCUAAAGAAUACAAGUCCUGCUUGCUGUACCUAGCUAUCUUCUCUCCCAGACAAAAGAUCAGGCGGUCAACCUUGAUUGCACGCUGGGUUGCAGAAGGGCUGACAUCCAAGGAAGAUUGGCCCAGUUCUGUGCGUCAGGCCAACCGAUGUUUUGACACACUCGUUGGCCGUUGCCUUGUUGAUCCUGCUGAUAUUGAUGCCAUGGGAAAAGUAAAGAGCUGCCUCGUAAGUGAUUCAGUUCAUGGAUUCAUCACCACCAUCGCCAGAAAACAACACAUUGUGGAGACACGCCUGUCACAUCACUUGGCUCGCCACUUCUCCAUUUUCAAUGAUCUCCAACUCCGCAGCUCUGAUAGAAUUGAUCAAUUCUUCCAUGGGCUCUAUAAAUCAUCUCAAGUAUCCCUGCUCAAGGUGCUAGAUCUAGAAGGUUGUCGGUGCUUUCUUGAGAAGAACCAUCGGUACCUCAAGGAAAUCUGCAGCAAGAUGUUACUGCUCAAGUAUCUGAGCCUAAGGAAAACAGAUAUUACCCAGCUACCAAGUGAAAUCAACAACCUCCGUGAGCUAGAGGUACUGGAUAUCCGACAAACUGAUAUACCUUCACAUGCAACAACACAUAUCCUGCUCUUGAAGCUGAAGCGCCUGCUAGCUGGUCACACUGAUCCAAGCAAUUUUGAAUCCAGUCCCCGGAUUCCUCAUAGUGUCGACAAAAUGCUAAACAUGGAGGUACUAUCCAAUGUAAAGGCUCAGAAGAGUCGUGAUUUAAAAGAUAUUGGAAAGCUAUGGCAGCUGAGGAAGCUAGGUGUGGUUAUCCAUGAUAUGGAUAGCCACCUCAGGAAUUUGCUUCAGGAGAUCGGUGACUUACAUGAGUGCCUCCGUUCUCUGUCAAUCACUACUACUCCCGUAGUCUCAGCACGCAAGGCUACUCCUUCCAGUGCAGAGUUGCCUGGCUCUCUCUUAAAACACUUCCCCAAGAUCCUUGAGAGUCUAAGCAUCAGGGGAACCACACAGAAGGGGCGUCUUCUUCCAUUGUUCAUAAAAGGUGACAACAACAAACUUGCCAAGAUAACUCUAUGUCACACUCUGCUGAGCCAAGAUGAUCUGGAAGUCCUUGCCAAGUUGCCCAAGUUACGGUGUGUCAGGCUCCAACAUAUUGUAUGCAGCGAACAAAAGCUGAACUUCAAGGAAGGUGAAUUCAGAUGCCUCAAGUACCUUCUUGUUGAGGACUUGGACUUGACUAAUAUUACUUUUGAGGAUGAGGCAGCCAGUGAGCUCGAGAAGAUGGUUUUGUCUAUCAGCAGCAAAUGUUCUAUUUCUGGAGUUGACAAUCUUCUUAAACUGAAUGAGCUUGAGUUGAACAGCAGCUUCUGCGGCAGUUUGCUUGACGAUGCCAAACAGAUAGCCAAGCUAACUCUUCGUGGUACAUUGCUAGAGCAAGAUGCUCUACAAACACUCACCAAGAAACCAAAUAUACGCUCUCUGGUGCUCCUGGACAAGUCUUUGAGUGGAAGUCAGAACAAGAUUACAUUGAAAAAAGAUGAGUUCUUAUGGCUCAACCUUCUUGUUGUUGACUGCUUAGCCAUUACCGAGAUUGAUUUCAACAGCGGGUCAGCUCCUAGGCUCGAGAAGAUUGUCUGGUCAUCUUCCACAUCUCUCUCCGGCAUCAAGAAACUUCCCAGAUUGAAGGAGCUCGAGUUCAACGUCAACGGUGUUGGUGGCCAAGUCCCUGAUCAGCCAAAUAUAAAGCAGGGCGAGCAUGUUUCUAGUAGUAGAGUAGCACACUGCCAUUUCAUGAGCAAUAACAAGAUGGUGAAGUUUCCUACAAGGAAUGCAGCAACAACAAAAUCAACAUCUGGCCACUAA